rnacentral:rRNA from 1 species
GAUGAACGCUGGCGGCGUGCCUAAUACAUGCAAGUCGAGCGAACAGACGAGGAGCUUGCUCCUCUGACGUUAGCGGCGGACGGGUGAGUAACACGUGGAUAACCUACCUAUAAGGCUGGGAUAACUUCGGGAAACCGGAGCUAAUACCGGAUAAUAUAUUGAACCGCAUGGUUCAAUAGUGAAAGACGGUUUUGCUGUCACUUAUAGAUGGAUCCGCGCCGCAUUAGCUAGUUGGUAAGGUAACGGCUUACCAAGGCAACGAUGCGUAGCCGACCCGAGAGGGUGAUCGGCCACACUGGAACUGAGACACGGUCCAGACUCCUACGGGAGGCAGCAGUAGGGAAUCUUCCGCAAUGGGCGAAAGCCUGACGGAGCAACGCCGCGUGAGUGAUGAAGGUCUUCGGAUCGUAAAACUCUGUUAUUAGGGAAGAACAAAUGUGUAAGUAACUAUGCACGUCUUGACGGUACCUAAUCAGAAAGCCACGGCUAACUACGUG